GACGAACGCUGGCGGCGUGCCUAACACAUGCAAGUCGAACGGAAAGGCCCUGCUCUUGUGGCGCGCUCGUGUGGCGAACGGGUGAGUAACACGUGUGUAAACUGCACUUGACUUUCGGAUAACUUCAGGAAACUGCGGCUCAUACCGCAUAGAAGCUCCUGCAGCAUGGUGUGGGAUGGUGAGUUUCGGCGGUUGUGGCUGGUCUGGCGGGUUAUCAGCUUGUUGGUGGGGUAGUGGCUUACAAAGGCUGUGAGGGCUAGCCGGCAUGAGAGGGUUGCCGGCGACAAUGGGACUGAGAGAGGGAGCAGACGCCAACGGGACGCAGCAGGGGAGAAUAUUGCGGAAUGGGCGGGCGCCAGAUGCAGCAACGUCGCGAGCGUGAUGACGUCUUUCGAGUUGUAAACCGCUGUCGACUGUGACGAAGCGGUAUUGACGGUAAUUGGUAAAGAAGCACCGGCUAACUACGUG
rnacentral:rRNA from 1 species